rnacentral:rRNA from 1 species
UACAGAGGCCUCAAGCGUUGUUCGGAAUUACUGGGCGUAAAGCGAGUGUAGGCGGUGAAGUAAGUCAGAUGUGAAAGCCCUAGGCUUAACCUAGGAAUGGCAUUUGAUACUGCUUUGCUGGAGUGCAAGAGAGGAGAGUGGAAUUCCUAGUGUAGGGGUGAAAUCCGUAGAUAUUAGGAGGAAUGCCAAUUGUGAAGACAGCUCUCUGGCUUGCCACUGACGCUGAGAUUCGAAAGCGUGGGUAGCAAACAGG